CAGGUGGCAAGCCCCAUGUACUCGAAUACCCAGGUGGCAACCCUCCCAUAGGCAUAAACACCCAGGUGGCAAGCCAUGUCCACAAAGGGAGCCUUACCAGGGGCACGAGACUCUGGGCCGUGCGGGCUGGUGGGUGUAGUCCGCGUAGGGGUGCUUAAGUGUGGGGUACCCAGGUUCGAAGGGUGCUUAAGUGUGGGUCCGUCCCCCAAGUGGCAAGACCCCCAUAGUCCUAAACACCCAUUUGGCUUAAGUCUGGGUCCCCAGGUUCGAAUGGUGCUUAAGUGUUGGUCCCCCAAGUGGCAACACCCCCAUAGGCAUAAACACCCAUUUGGCAAGCCCCAUGGAGUGAAAAUGUGACAAAGUGUCAGUUGUAUGGAUAAGAAUACCCAGUUGGCAAGCCCCCAUUGACGGACUACCCAAGUGGCAAGUUCGGGUCCGGUACCCAAGUGGCAGUUUUCCCCAUUGAGAGAAACACCGAGAUGGCAACGAUGCCCUCUGGUGGCAGAAACACGUUACUACAGCGAAUCUUGCCACGAGGGAGCAAAAUCCAUGAUUUUUGUGAAAAGUUUGUCCUGUUUGGGGGUCUCUCACGGGGAGACCGGGGGUCUUAAAAAUCGGUAGGGUGGGUCACGGGGGUAACGAGGGAUAACCGGAUUUUUAGAGAUUGACCCCGUAACCCUACGACCCAGGGUUAGACCUCCAGAAUUUUUAGAAAAAGGCCCUUUUUUCCCCCCAAAUGUACACUUUUUCGGCCCUCGCCCUAAAUAGGGUUUGAAAUGAGCUUUCUUUCAAUUAGUCAAACAUUUGAACAUUUUGAUGUUUGCAACUGUUUUGCAACAAUAAUGUACUGGUUUUCCUUGAGUAAUUCUUACUAAAAGACAUGGACAAUUAUUGAAGUUAAUGGUUUUAAUCAAAAUUUAAAAAUAAAUCACUACCUGAUGACCAGAUAUUCAUAGCCAAACAGUUCUUACUCUCACUUAUAGUUUCAUGAUUACCUGCCUGGUGGAGUGUGAUAUUACAGAACAAAAAAAGGUGAAUUUUCAAACUCUAAGCCCGAUUU